CACUAUGAUACGAUGUAACAACAGACUAGCUAAUCUUUUGUUUAUUUCCCAGUCAUUUAUUGUGCGUCUACCAUGUGCCGGACACUGCACUGGGCACUGGAGAUGCAGUAGAGGAUAAAACAGACAAAAGUCCCCGUCCUUGCGGAAAUCUCCUUGCAGGGAUGGAUGGACAGGAGGAGAUUAUAAAGAGAUAAAUACGAUGAGGCUGGAUGGUAAUGCCUGGAGAAGAAGGAAGUAAAUAGAGGAGGGGCAGGAGACACAGCUGGAGAUAGGGUGCUUGGAGAAUGUGCACGGAUGCCUGGCAUGUGCUCUGAGGUGAGGGUAGUUAUUUCUGCCCAUUUUCCAAGUGAGGGAACUGAUGUUCAGCUGUUAGUUGAAUGAAUAGCCUAAGGUCACCCAGAUUGUGGCAGGAUUCAGAUUGUAGUAAUUUAGAUUUGCCUGAUGCAGUAUUUAAGCUCUCAACUGUUCGUAUUUGGCACAUUAUGUUUUUACCUAAUAGUUUAACUUGCUUUCUCACCUCGUGGCUGCCCCACCCCAACCCCCCUGGCAGAAAUGAUUGUCCCUUUUAUGGAUGAGGAGAUGGAGGCCCAGGAAGUAAUCUGCCAACAGCCCUACCAAGCCCAGGAAGCCGGCUGGACCUCCGUGUCUGCAUGUGAGCUCCAGAUUCUGAUCUGAGCCUCUAGGCUCCGGGAUGGAGAAAGGGGACCCGAUCCUCCCAGGCAGAGGCGAGAGGAGACCAGCGGAAAGGAAGAGAUGUCGGUUUGAACAAAUUGACCAGUAGAGAUGAAUACAAGGAAAAGGUCCAGGCCUCCUCCCCGAAGCUACGCCCUGCAGGGAGCGCUGCUGUUGGCAGGCUGGGGAGCAGCCAUUUGGAAUUGUUCUCCAGUCGCCUGCCCCUGUGCACGUCUCCUCACUGUAAGCAUCAAUGACCCAACUGUAUUGAAAAGUCAAAGCUGGGUCAGAGGAUUCCUCCUCCUGGGCACGUCUCCAGCUUCUCACAGCCUUGACGCACCCGUCAAUGACGCAAGCCAGGAAGCUGCUGGUCUGUCCUGCGAACUUCCCUGGGGUCUUCUCCAUGCGAGCGCAGCAGUGCCCCUCCCGUGCUCUGGUGCCCAACCCCUGUCCUACUUGCAGACUGUUGUCAUCACUGCAGGCGUCGUGUUUAGCUUUCAUAAAGCCUUCCUGACAAAUCCGUUCUGCUCUUUCCUUAAUCAUUCCUGCUGCGAUUCUCUAAACAACGCCCGAUUUGUUGACAUCUCCAGGGAUGUUCAACUAAGAGCUGUACAUAGAAUCCAGGUGCAGUUUCAACAGCCCCAGAUAAAGAGGGAUCAAGGCAGCCUCUCUCCUCGGAGGCCAGGGGGCUCCAUGGCCCAUGUCCACACCCUGAAAGCUGGGUGGGUGGAGCCAAACUAUCACAGACAUUUUUUGNNNNNNNNNNNNNNNNNNNNGCAGUGGCAUGAUCUCGGCUCACUGCAACCUCUGCCUCCCAGGUUCAAGUGAUUCUCCUGCCUCAGCCUCCCCAGUAGCUGGGAUUACAGGUGCCCGCCAUCACGCCCGGCUAAUUUUUGUAUUUUUAGCAGAGACGAGGUUUCACCAUGUUGGCCAGGAUGGUCUCGAUCUCCUGACCUCGUAUCACAGUAAUUUUUACCAGUGUGACGGCACUGUGGAUAAUGCUGGCCAAGGAGGCUUCACUUGCCCUCAGUGCUUAGAUCGUUUUAUUGUUUCUUUGCUUAUUAUUCUGUUGGUGUAUGCUCACCAUUAAAAAAAAAAAAAGAGUACAUAUAUACAAAAAGAAAAAGGGAAAAAACACCAUCUGUAAUCCCAACCCCUGGGGACAACGACUUAUCUUAGCAGAUAGCGCCUGUCAUCUGAUCAAGGGCAGGGCUAAGCACGUAGAUUCUGGAGUUAACCACAGGAGUCCAGGUCAUUUAAUCUCUCUCUGCCUCAGUUUUCUCAUUUCAAACAAGAUGCUAAUAAUAGUACCCACUGCUGUGAAAGUAAACAGUUCCUACUAUAGAUACGACAGGAAGACCCCAAGAUAACAAGAUAAACGGCGUUCAGAGGCUCCUACGGGUGGUCAGGAAUCAAUGCUUUCCUCCUUCCAAGAGGCUUUCUCUGUGCAUUUGUCACUUAAAAAAUUGGAUUACACUGUUUGUAGUUUCUUGCUCAACCUGGCUUUCGUUUUCUUUUUUUUCUUUUUCUUUUUCUUUUUAUCUUUAUGCCACAUUGUGGGAGCUGGUGCCAUGAGUCUAGGCACUUAACGCAAUCCGCAAAGAUUCCGCCAUCAGGCGGAUCAUGAGGUCAGGAGUUCAAGACCAGCCUGGCCAGCCUGAUGAAACCCCAUCUCUAUGAAAAAUACAAAACAUUAGCCGGGCAUGGUGGCGCACGCUUGUAAUCCCAGCUACUCAGGAGGCUGAGGCAGGAGAAUUGCUUCAAACCCAGCAGGUGGAGGUUGCAGUGAGCCGAGAUCAUCGCACCAUUGCACUCCAGCCUGGGCGACAAGAGUGAAACUCCAUCUCAAAAAAAAAAAAAAAUCUGCCACCAGCUGCCAAGGGGUCGUGUUCCCGAGACACCUUCACUGUUAGACCCUGCACACUUGUGCAUGGCAAGGAGAGGCUCCAGAAAUGUUAACUUUUUCUUUAGAAUUUUCCUGAGUUGACUUCUCCUCCAAACAUUAAACACAACAAGCCCACAUAUCUGAGCUUCAGCUGCAAGUGCAAAAUGCAUCCCUUGAUUGAUGCAGGAGACACGUUUUGCUAGAAGAAAGUCCAGUGUUGGCCUGGCGUGGUGGCUCAUGCCUGUAAUCCCAGCACUUUGGGAGGCCGAGGCGGGCAGAUCGCCUGAGGUCAAGAGUUCAAGACAAGCCUGACCAACAUGGAGAAACCCCGUCUGUACUAAAAAUACAAAAAUUAGCUGGAUGUGGUGAUGCAUGCCUGUAAUCCCAGCUACUCAGGAGGCUGAGGCAGGAGG
ensembl:lincRNA